UUUCUGGUCCCGGCCCCUUUAAAUGAUAAUAAAUAAUAAAAGGGAAGGGGAACGGAGCCACGGGACGCCCCGCCCCCUGCCUAGGGACAGUGGGCAAAGUGCGCGUCGCGGCCCCGAGCGCAGAGGGCUCUGAGGGCGAGGCGGGGCUCUGAGAGCGACUGAGGUGGAGGGACCGGGUUGGGCUCGGCUCCAGCCCCGGGUGUGCUGUAGCUGAGGGACCCCAGACCACCCGAGUCCGCGAGCUUUCCCCAUAUUACCUGGCCAUGGGCAAGGACCUACCCGCCCCGGAGUUGCACCUUCGCCCCUUGGGCUGAGGCGUCGCGACAGUCACUGCACCCUAGAGCGUCGGUUUCCAAGUCUGCGUGCAAACGGGGAUUGGACCCGGGAAGGAGCGGGCUGCGGUGACCCGGACGGGAGUCGAGACCUGCGGGGUCGCGCGGAGGCGGGACGCGAGGUCCUGGAGCUGCGAGCGGCGAUCCCGUGCGCCCCGCCGCAGGCCUCGGAGCCCAGCCCGCGGCUGGCCGGGACCCGCGCCUGGGGGUCGGCGCCCUUCCCCUCGGGCUCCGGCGGGCCCGUGCCCAGGCGUCGCCCUGCGGCCCGGGCCCCACCGAACUGCGCCCGGCCCGGGGAGGGCGAGCGCUGUGCCGGAGAGGGCAGCGGGAAACACUCCCGGGGAGGGUGCGAGCCGCCCCCGCGUCGCAGUUCUCCCCCGGAGGGACCCUGUUAACUCGGCCCGAAGGAGGAGACAGCCUGCGGGGUUGGUUACCCGGAGAGCUGGGUGCCGCAUCCCCAGGCUAGGGGCCCGGAGGGCGAGGGGCUGCAGCAGCCACAGCUGCCCGCUGCUGGGAGGGGGCUCCUAUUUUUAGCCCGGGAGGGAGCUGGGAAUUUACACCCAGACUUGCUGGCUCCCGUGUAUCCCGGGAUGCCCGGUGACGGGGGAGGGGGACCUGGCAGCCAAGGGAGAGUGUGGAUUUAGGUCCAUGCAAGCCAUGAAGUGGGUACCCCAGCCCUACAAGGUUUGGACAGACCAUUUCGUGGAGCCCCUGUGAGUCUGGGGACACCCCCCAAAGCUUUAGUCUGAUGCCCACCCAAUCCUGGUCACUCAUCCUAUUCUCACUCUCUAUUUAGGGGUGGAUCUUACAAAUUCACCCAGGCCUGGUUCUCAAGCUUCUCCAAGUUAAACCAAAAGUGCCCACCUCCCCACAUGUAUUCCUUCUCAAGCAUGUUUGCACCUCUGUGCCUUUGCCCUGGCCCGCGCCUGGCCUGCCCUGCCCUGCCCCAGAGGGCCCCUUGGCCUGUGUCCUCCUUCAUAUUGGUGCCCUCCUCAGGUUCCCUCUCUGGCCUCUCUUCACACCCCCACCAUGCCUCAGGUCUUCAUUGAAGCCUUUUCUGUUUUGAAAUAGCUAUUUAUUUAACCCCUGUAUCUGGCUUCCAGUAGGGCCCUCAAGUCCUAAGGACUACAAUGUCAGACGAAGUUGGUUAAAUGCUACCUCUCUGGCUUGCUUUUCCCCCAGGGCUUUCAGUGUGUGUCUGCACAGGGGACUCCAAAAUAAUCAUUUUUAAAAUCUGAAGGAGACUGUUGGCCCUCACCUCAAAGCCUGACCCUCCAUUGCCAUCCAUACACGUUUGGAUACUGAAUUUGUUGACAUUAGGCAGAAAAGCCAGGGUCCACAAAACGUAUGCUUAUUUAUUCACUUUUAUAAAAAAUAUCUUUGAAUCAUCAAUAGAUGUUUGUUUCAUUCGUUCAUAUGUGGUGCCGAGAAUCGAACCCAGUGCCCAAACUUUACCUGCUAGCCAAGGGCUCUGCCCCUGCACUACAAACUCAGCCCACUAUUCACUUUUAUUUAAUAAGGAGGCCUUAGGGAUGUGGCUCUUUGGUAGAAUACUUGCUGCCCAUGGCUCUGGGUUCAAUGCCCAGCACAGUUAAAAAGUAAAAAAGGAAAUACCCCAGAACAUAAUAAUGUAGGCUACAUUAAUAAUAAAUCCAGCCCGAAAUGUUUUCAACAUCUUUUCACGGACAGGACCCUCAAAACAAGUGCCUAGGACACGGGAAACGCAUGAUGUGACUGUGUUUGUCCCUUUUCACAGCGGGUACAUUUCCUGCUGGGGUCCGGGUUGGGUGCGAAUGAGCGACCCCUGGGCGUCCAGCAAUCGUCUGUGGGAUGAAAAGAGCGAGAUGGAUUCGUGAGACACGCGCGCCACUACCUGGCCGCCAGCGGGGCUGCUGCCUUCUGGGCGUGGCUAAUAUCUACUGGGCGAGGCUUCGUACGAGAGGGUGGAGCCCUGUCGGGGGCCGCUAGGUGGCGCCGUCUUACCUUAGAAAAUGGGAUUCCCAGGUUGGACUUGGGGAAACUGAGGACCACAAACCAUUUUCUCAUCUUCUUUUCUUUUGCUUUAUUUUUGUAGUACUGGCAAUGGAACCCAGGUCCUUGAACAUGCUAGGCCAGUGCUCUAUCGCUAAGGUAGAUCACCAGCUCUUUAUUUUGAGACAGAGUCUUCCUAAUUUGCUGGAAUUUGUGAUCCUCAUCCCUUCUCUUCUUGGUUACUGGGGUCACGAGUAUUAGAUCAUGGAAUCCUGCAUCUUGUGUGCUUGGAGUAUGCUUUCUUCACUCAGCGCCUCUGUUCAUGGAGAUCCAGCCUGUGGUGCCUGUGUCAGCACUGUCCUUGCCCUGUGGCCUGUGUGUGAACCAGGCACUGUUUGCAUACAGGCCACUCACUGGAGGACAUCCGACUGUUUCCAGUUUGGGGCUCUCACAAAUAAAACUAUGAGGAUUGGAGGACCCA